GCCUGCCUGAGCUGCUCGGAGGCCCAGUGCUUCCUUCCAUGCCUAUGGUGUCCCCCAGGACCACCCGAGCCAGGUGCCUGCAGGGGGUUAAAUGUAUUAAUCUGUUUGGGUGAAAGAGUGCAGGUAUAUAUCUCUGAGAACUGCAGGAUUCUGUGUCAUUCGGAUCAUGGAAGCUCUAAGGGCCAGAUUCUAUUUCAGCUAUUGGGAAUGAGCAGUAGACUCUUCAGAGAGCAUAAAUCCUUCCAAGUUUGAAGAAGAUUGGUGCAGGGGUUUGGGGGGAACUGCACCCCAAAUGCUUGAAAGCAAAACUCUCAUCAAUCAUGAUUCACUCAGGGAACAGCUCAAUACACAGGACCUAGUUAAUGUAGCUAGUUAAUUGCCAUCAAUUAGCACCUAUAAAACCAGGCUAAGGAGAGGAAAGACUCAAUACAGACAAUCAACUGCCAAAGGAUUGCUGCUGACUCUCACAGGCCUAGUAAAUAGUAUUCUGUUAUUUUUGUAUUGAUUCUUUUUUUCUGUUUUACAUUGUAUUAUAUUGUAUUCCUAUCAUUUGUGCAUUGAUUUUUGUUUCAUAUUAACAUUCUAUGAUUUAUGCCUACACUGUGAUUUGGCAUGAGUGAUGUCAAGUAUCCAUUUUGUGUGUCAGAUUCCCAUCUUGUUCCCAUGCCCUGUUGUGUAAGUAUAUUGUAACCUAUGACUCAUACCUACCCGCCCCAUGUAGAUUGGUUCCUGAAUGAAUGGGGAUGAAUGAGGGUACCUGAGACACAAUGGCAGUAGGUCUAAAAAUAGCUCCCUCUGAGUGACCGAACCAUCAACUCAAUGACCCAACCUUCACCCUGCAUUGACCCUCCCUGGCUCAAGAUUUGGAAGACAAAGACUGCUGCAGAAAUCCGCCAACUCACCAUUACAGACACCUGAAACUGCAUGUCCUUUCCUAGGAGUGAACGUGCUCAUUACACCAGGGGCUGAUGCUUGCCUGGGCAUGCCCCUAUCACUAGGGUCAUAGAAGGUCUGCCCCUAUAAAAGACAGACCCAGUGGGAUGCCCUCUCCAUCUGGACCAGCACCAUGCCAUGCCACCUAUCCAUCCAGAGGCCCUGCUGGUGACCCCUUCUGGAGAAUACCUGCUGGACAAAGACCCCUUUCCAGCCUGGAUAGGUAACUAUCACCUCCACCCUCUUUCCAAACAAGGACUUGGACUCUCUUUCUCUUCCCUACCUGGACUCCAGCCCUUCCACUGAGUCUCUUUCUCCUGCUACCAUUGUGCGUGUGUGAACCAAAAACUUCAUGGGGAUGUGUAGUGUGUGUUGUCUGUUUAAUAAACCUGUUAUUUUGAAACCCUGA